rfam:Oryza nivara chromosome 2, whole genome shotgun sequence.
GAUUUCAAUUGAAAAAGUCAUCAACAACAAAGUUGUAUGACUCAUCAAGGUCUAUAACUUUUAUUUUUGUCAUUUCUUUUCAUCCGACAAAGUGAUAGUAACAUUGUUCACAAAAUUUACAUAUCUCUCAUUUGGUUUUAUAAACUAUAAGAGUGAUAUGUAAAUUUUGUGAACAAUAUUACUAUCACUUUGUCGGAUGAAGAAAUGACCAAAAUAAAAGUUGUAUGUCUUGAUGAGUUCUACAACUUUUAUGUUCAUGACUUUUUCAGCUAUGUUU